CCUACGGGGGGCAGCAGUGGGGAAUAUUGCACAAUGGGGGAAACCCUGAUGCAGCGACGCCGCGUGAAGGAAGAAGUAUUUCGGUAUGUAAACUUCUAUCAGCAGGGAAGAAAAUGACGGUACCUGACUAAGAAGCCCCGGCUAACUACGUGCAAGCAGCCGCGGUAAUACGUAGGGGGCAAGCGGUAUCCGGAUUUACUGGGUGUAAAGGGUGCGUAGGCGGUUUAGCAAGUCAGAAGUGAAAGCCCGGGGCUCAACUCCGGGACUGCUUUUGAAACUGUUGAACGAGAUUGCCGGAGAGGUAAGUGGAAUUCCUAGUGUAGCGGUGAAAUGCGUAGAUAUUAGGAGGAACACCAGUGGCGAAGGCGGCUUACUGGACUGUAAAUGACGCUGAGGCUCGAAAGCGUGGGGAGCAAACAGGAUUAGAUACCCGGGUAGUC
rnacentral:rRNA from 1 species